UCUCCCUUUCUCUCUCUCUCUCUCUCUCUCUCUGUACCGUCGCGUUUCAUCCCCUCUCUUUUAUUGGAGAAAGAUUCUUCUUUCUAUAAAUCUGCAACCCUCUUUGAGAAUGUUUGAAAAGUUCUCAUGGGAGGGCAAAAGGCGAAUGUGAAUAAAUUAAAAUAAAGGGGACCAUCGGCAGCCGACGGACGCGAACCCUUCUCUCUCUCUCUACUUUCUCUCUCUUCUGAUAUCUUUCCCCAUCCAUCUCCAUCUCUCUACUUUCUCUCUCUUCUGAUAUCUUUCCCCAUCCAUCUCCAUCUCUCAACCCCUGUGGAUUGAUAGGUUUCUCUGAUAGAGUGGGAUCUGUGCGGGCAUGUGAGGUCUAGAGAGAGAAAGAGAGAGAGUGGGCGAAUGGAUCCUGUGGUACUCGAUGAUAUCAUUGCUAGGCUUCUUGAGGUGAGAGGAACAAGGUCAGGAAAGCAGGUCCAGCUCUCUGAGUCCGAGAUCCGUCAGCUCUGUGUCGUCUCCAAAGACAUUUUCAUGCAACAGCCCAACCUCCUCGAGCUUGAGGCACCCAUCAAAAUAUGCGGUGAUAUCCAUGGUCAGUAUUCUGAUCUUUUAAGGCUUUUUGAAUAUGGUGGUCUACCUCCUCAGGCCAAUUACUUAUUCCUAGGGGACUAUGUUGACCGGGGCAAACAAAGUCUGGAGACGAUAUGCCUCCUCCUUGCUUAUAAAAUUAAGUACCCAGAGAACUUCUUUCUUCUAAGGGGAAAUCAUGAAUGUGCAUCCAUAAACCGGAUCUAUGGAUUCUAUGACGAGUGUAAAAGGCGAUUUAAUGUGAGACUCUGGAAAGUUUUCACAGACUGUUUUAACUGUCUACCAGUAGCAGCUCUGAUAGAUGAGAAGAUACUUUGCAUGCAUGGUGGACUUUCCCCUGAUCUAAAUAAUUUGGAUCAGAUAAGGAACUUAGUUCGUCCAACCGAUGUACCUGAUACUGGUUUACUUUGUGAUCUGCUUUGGUCAGAUCCUAGUAAAGAUGUUCAAGGAUGGGGAAUGAAUGAUAGAGGAGUUUCAUAUACUUUUGGCCCUGAUAAAGUUACAGAGUUCCUUCAAAAGCAUGACCUGGAUCUUAUUUGCCGUGCUCACCAGGUUGUGGAGGAUGGUUAUGAAUUCUUUGCUGAUAGACAGCUAGUCACGAUAUUUUCAGCACCAAAUUACUGUGGGGAAUUUGACAAUGCUGGUGCAAUGAUGAGUGUUGAUGAGACUUUGAUGUGUUCUUUCCAAAUACUGAAGCCUGCAGAGAAGAAACCAAAGUUUGGUUAUGGCAACUCAAAUGCAACUACAGCUAAGCCUGGAACACCACCAGCUGGAGUAAAGAUCGUGGAUCUACUUUUGAUGCCCUUAUGUUAUCCAAAUAGUGUUAAGACUUUUGAGGAGUGGAGUUGAUGUUCCUUUUUAGCUCCUUGGUUUCCAAGAAGAAUAUGAGGCCCUUAUAGCGUGUGAACUAAUUAACUUGGAGAGCCCUGCCAUUGAAGAGGCUUCACGUUUGUACGAACAAGGAAUUGGAUAAGUUGUGGAGGUUAAUUGUCUCCUUAGUUUCAAAGAGUGCAGAUGAAUUCAAAUUCUCCUUGGUUCUUAACAAUAAUACGAGGAUUUUAUGGUAUGCAAACUAAUUAACUUGGAGAGCCAUAUGAUACUUUUAGAGACAAGCGUGAUCAGAUGGAUUCAGAGAUUCCACAAAAGCUAAUAAUCCUUGAAGCAAUAAAUGUUACUGGAAAUGAGGCUCUUGCAAAGCCAGAUUGUCCUCUUGUUCUUUAUAUUUUCCUAGUCCUUCCUGGGGGCGAAAGCAUGAGAGAGAUUAGGAGGCUUCACGGAAAGAGCUUAGGCCUUUUACGGACCUGUCUGUUGUCCUGCC